AGAAGGUAAUAAUCCUGUAGUCGAAAACGAAUUCUCUCUUGAGUGGAUCCUGAGUACGACGGAGCACGUGAAAUUCCGUCGGAAUCUGGGAGGACCAUCUCCUAAGGCUAAAUACUCUCUAGUGACCGAUAGUGAACCAGUACCGUGAGGGAAAGGUGAAAAGUACCCCGGAAGGGGAGUGAAAGAGAACUUGAAACCGUGUGCUUACAAGUAGUCAGAGCCCGUUAAUGGGUGAUGGCGUGCCUUUUGUAGAAUGAACCGGCGAGUUACGAUCUGAUGCAAGGUUAAGCAGAAAAUGUGGAGCCGUAGCGAAAGCGAGUCUGAAUAGGGCGAAUGAGUAUUUGGUCGUAGACCCGAAACCAGGUGAUCUACCCUUGGUCAGGUUGAAGUUCAGGUAACACUGAAUGGAGGACCGAACCGACUUACGUUGAAAAGUGAGCGGAUGAACUGAGGGUAGCGGAGAAAUUCCAAUCGAACUUGGAGAUAGCUGGUUCUCUCCGAAAUAGCUUUAGGGCUAGCCUCAAGUGAUGAUUAUUGGAGGUAGAGCACUGUUUGGACGAGGGGCCCCUCUCGGGUUACCGAAUUCAGACAAACUCCGAAUGCCAAAUAAUUUAACUUGGGAGUCAGAAUGUGGGUGAUAAGGUCCAUAUUCGAAAGGGAAACAGCCCAGACCACCAGCUAAGGUCCCAAAAUAUAUGUUAAGUGGAAAAGGAUGUGGCGUUGCCCAGACAACUAGGAUGUUGGCUUAGAAGCAGCCAUCAUUUAAAGAGUGCGUAAUAGCUCACUAGUCGAGUGACACUGCGCCGAAAAUGUACCGGGGCUAAACAUAUUACCGAAGCUGUGGAUUGUCC
rnacentral:rRNA from 1 species